rnacentral:lncRNA from 1 species
CUGGGGGUGAUUUCCUGUUCUGGGAGGAUAAGAUCCUGCUCCACGUAUGGCAUUCCUUUUUAAUCUUUGUCCCAAUAACAAAUUAUAGUAAACAUAGUAGCAGAUCUGGAAAUGCACACAACAACUUUAGAUAGUUUGUAAAUCAUGAAUAUGUUGGUUUGAAUACCUUCAGGAAAUAAUUAAUUAUUAUUAAGCAUACCUAGCUAAAAUGUUUACCUGGAUGCUAUUGCAGCAUCAACUGCCAAUAUAUGUUUAAAUAAACAUAGAAAACUAUUGAAUCAUUAAAACCAAUAGUCUAAGGAUUAUAUGCAGUAGCAUUAUAUUGGAUCUGAAAAUUAAUAUCUAUGAACCUGAGGUUUCACUAUGAAUAUUUGCCCAUAUUUAGUGAAAGUAAGGUUGAGGAUCCAAUUAUAGCCCCAUGUUAAAUCUGCAUUUAAUCACAGGCAAAACAUGAAUAUCUGAUAUUUUUACAGUGACAGAAAUCCAUUAUGCAAUGUGCAUUAUGACAAACAUAUCCUGUGUUUUUAAAUUUUGAAAAGACAAAAUUGAUUUCAGUUGGAACAGUUCAGGUACAAUUUUUUACCAAACCUCCAAAUUUUAAACACAAGAACAAAUAAGCAUGAAAUAACCUCUAUUAUAUUGCAAAUAUACAUCAAACAAUUAUUAAUAAUAAAGUUUCAACUUAAUGCAAAUGUCUACUACAAUUGAUAUCAAUAAUAACAAGUAAGAAAUUUGAAAUCUUAUAAGGGACAAAAAAAUAUACAAAAUAUUGCACAAUGAGUAAAAGGUGUAGAAAAUAUCAUGUAUGACACAAGAAAUAGUUUUAAACUGUCAACAAAGUAUUGUUAGUGUGUCUGUCUUUUAUGUAGUAAUAUUUCAUUCAAUAUUUUGAUAUAUCUUUCAAUAAUAUAGAUUACUUGCAUACAUAGAUUCCUGGUUACAUAACCUAUUUGAAUUUAUUUCCAAAUUUCCAAAUUUUAUUUCAACUAAAUGAAACCUACAAUAUAUUAUGUGCAUCAAAUAGGAUCUCAAACUACAUAGCUUCUAGAUAUUCUGAUAUCUAUCAUUGCCAUAUUAAUUUUAGACUUUUUAAAGGCAAAAUAUUAACAACUAACCCUAUGCUAUUUCAUUAAAAUGUAUGAGAUGCUCUACAACUGAAAUAUUUGUAAACUUAAGGUGGUAGAACUAUUCUAAGGGAAAUAACUCUUAAAAUCAUCAGGACUUUUGUGUCAAGCAUUUUCAAUAAAUAGAUUAUAAGCUUCUAAGUUACAUGGACUGUUAACAAUCUAUUUCAGGUAAUUUAAAAGCUUAAAAUACAUUGAUGAAACUUGACUUUAACAAAAGCAUUUUUCAGUUUAAGAGUUAUCUCCCUGAACCAAGGUCUACCCCCUAAUUUAGACAAAAUAUCAAACAAGAUAUUUUUUUAAUGAAUAGAAAGAAGUCUAUAUGAAAAUUAAGAAAUGAAAAUACUGCAUUAUCUAUGGAAUUAAAUCACGAAAAACAAUUGACUUUACAACAUAAAUAUAAACAAUAAUAAAGAUAUUUAGAAAUCCAAUACUUGUGAGCACUGAAGGGUAAACAGAUAGCAUUCACUUUACAUAGGGAAGUAUAACAUUGUAGUAUAUUAGUAAGGGAAGACAAUAUUUAGAAUUGGAUAUUUCUUAUUUUGUUCAUAAUUUUAGUACAAAUACAAAGAUUACUUUAAUUUUAAUAACUCCUUUAAUGGCCAUUUAAAAACAAUCAGAUUCACUUAAUGCCUAAGCUGUAAUGUUUCGACAGAUAAAAUCAAAACUGAACUCAAUAUAAAAUACAUAUAUAUAUCAGACAAUUAUAUAAGUUAUGUUAAUAAAUGGAUUAAGUAAUUUGAUUAAUUAUACUUGAAAUGAAAUCUUCCACUAAACAAAAUAAUUCUAACAUUUCUAUAACAAUAAUACAAAUUAUAAAUACCAUCAAUAUAUUUUAUAUUAUAAUGCCAUAACCUUAAUCUACUGCAAACAAAAUAAAACAAAUAAAUAUCUAUAACACUAAAAUAAAACAUAUAAGGGAAAGCAUAUGAAAGCAUCAAUAUAUUUUGACAGACAAAAUAUCUAGGUUUUUAGGGCCCUUUAUAGCUGGCUGUUCGGUGUGAGCCUAAGCUCUGUGUUGAAAACUGCAACUUGACCUAUAAUGGUUUACUUUUAUAAAUUGUGACUAGGAUGGAGAGUUGUCUCAUUGGCACUCAUACCACAUCUUCUUAUAUCUAUCUGUUUUACACAUUGAUUCUUAUUGCUGUGUAACUUUACCUAAUUAGUAUCAUCUUGAUAUUUCUUAACAAAUAGGGAAACAAUACACUAAAAUAAAAAAAUCUUGCAAAUAUAAAUACAAUAAACUUCUAAACCAGUAGGUUAGAAAUGAAGUUACAUACACUUCUAACGGCAACUUAAUUAUUCAUUAUGUCAAAAGUGUUUUAUGACAAUGAUGUACUUUUCCUUUCAAAUGAUUACAAAGUAGAUUGAUUGGUUAAUAAAUUUAGGUUCCCCAACAAUGAAAAUAUUGUACAAUUUUUUGUUCCUUUUCUGAAACCUUGAUGCCUGUUAUGCCCCUUUCUAGCCAUAAUUUAAGUCUGACAUAUUCAGGGCAAUUUUGUUCAACAUGCACAACAGUAGGUUGGAUUACAGUAGGUGAUAGAGAUUAAAAUAAAAUUUAAUUAUUGGUAUAAAAGAAAAAUAUAUAUAAAACUUUAUAACAUGAGCAAUGCCAAAAUUUAAGUGUUCUAACAAAAUUAUGUCAUCUAAAAAAAAUAUGGUUUUGUCACUUAUCUACUGACCAUAUUUAAACUGAAGGUUAAGGAUUCAAAUGAAAAUGGUUCCUGCUAUAUUUAUCUUAGUAAAACCUAUUUCACUUUAAAUAAUAUAAUAUUAUCAUAUCUGAAUCUGUAAAGUUCUUUUAAUCAAAUUUUACUACUGGUAUCCAGCAAUGUUUGCAUCACAGCCUAGCAUAAAGUAUAAAUGAGGUAAAUGGUUUAAGUUUGUGACAAUGAACUUUGAUUUGGUAUUACAACUGCUUAUUUCACAGUUUUGGUGGUUUGUCAAAAUAAACUCAGUGGUUUUGAUUACUAGUGUAAGUCAAGUAAGGCAUGGAUUUAAUCACAAAAUUGUAUUCACAAAAUUUAAUCAAAUCAUGCAAAAAAUACAUGAAAAUAAUAUAGGAGCAAUUCUUAACAAUGACGAAACAAAAUGCUUGAAAUUUGCAAUUUGUAAAUGAUUUUUAUUGUUGCAGAGAUGACACAGACUACAUGAAAGUAUGCAAACUGUUUCUCUCUUCAGGAUUACAUAUUAUAAGUAUAAAUUAUAAAUGACUUAUAAUAAUUUUAAAAUGAUUUUGAUAAUAAUCCAAUAAAUUUUCUAUCUUUACAUAUUAUCUUUCAAAUACUUUAAUGAAUGAGUAUUAAAUAUAAACCAGUCUCUUAAUUUUAUUUCAUUUUAUUAUCAAAAAAUUGAAUUUAAACAUAAGAAGAUUUUUUUAAAUCAAC